rnacentral:rRNA from 1 species
UGGGGAAUUUUCCGCAAUGGGCGAAAGCCUGACGGAGCAAUACCGCGUGAGGGAGGAAGGCUCUUGGGUCGUAAACCUCUUUUCUCAGGGAAGAAGAAAGUGACGGUACCUGAGGAAUCAGCAUCGGCUAACUCCGUGCCAGCAGCCGCGGUAAUACGGAGGAUGCAAGCGUUAUCCGGAAUCAUUGGGCGUAAAGAGUCCGUAGGUGGCGCAUCAAGUCUGUCGUUAAAGAGCAGGGCUUAACCCUGGAAAGGCGGUGGAAACUGAUGAAGCUAGAGUACGGCAGGGGUAGAGGGAAUUCCCAGUGUAGCGGUGAAAUGCGUAGAGAUUGGGAAGAACACCGGUGGCGAAAGCGCUCUACUAGACCUGUACUGACACUGAGGGACGAAAGCUAGGGGAG